GCACGCGUCAUUCUCUCUUCUCUCUCCCUCUGCCUCUCCCCGAUACCUCUCUCUUCUUCUGCGCGCAGCACCAAGACUGGCAGCGAUUCUCGUCGUCCGGCCAAGCCAGGUCGUGGGACCAGUCGGAAAAGAACGGCCACUGACCAGCGACCUCAUCCUUUACCUUUUACGACCAGCACAGCCCCUCCCUGUGACGGCCGGAGCUCGGAAAGGCGGAGAGGUUUGCGAUUUUUCUGUAGCCGUUUCCGGCGACUCCGGUAACCAUUGUCGUCAAUAAAUCCAGUUCAGCCUCCGCCGACACUUUUUAUGGCAUCUAUCACUGAAGGGACGGCUAACCAGUCUUGUGCUCCACGCCAAACAGUUUCUACUGGACCGAUCAGUCUAACAGUUCCGAAGAAUGCUCCAGAUUCUAGACACGCGUCCAAAGGAUCAAGAGCUAUGGGGACAUCAGAUGAGAUUUCAGGCAAUCUGAAACUUCAAUCUCUUUCGCUCUCUCCCAUGGAAAUAGGAGGAAGAAAAAAAAGGAAGCAACACCUAUGAACGACGUAGUCGCCUCCGACUCCAUCAACACCAAUGAACGACAAGUUUUCAUGAUACAGAGCUGAGUUAAAGAUGGCGGUUAUUGUAAGUGCAAAAUUGCACACAAAAUAUAAAGCUGAAGCUAAGGUAACUUGAUUUUCGGUUCUGUUCAGAGAUCAUCAGCUGCAACUAAUUCCCUGGUCUUUGUUUGGCUCCUUCUUUGAUAUUCUAUGUUGGUUUGGUUGGCAGCUGGAUCUGAAAUUGGGUAGACAUGGAUCGAAAGAGAAAGAGGAAGAUUGUGACAACUCUAGUUGCAGUAGAGUUAGAAAAACAACGUUUAUGUGCAUCCAUGAUGUUAGUAACUGUCAUAUAGAUCCAAUGGAGCAAGAAUUUUAUUAUGAUACCCUCAUUGAUAAUAAUGUAGAUCAUGGCACUGUUGAUACCGUUGCAGCAUCCAACCAAUGGUCUGUAUGGAGAGAUAAUUUGGCUACUAAGAUGUGUAAUGAGUGGAUGGCAAAUAGAGCAACAUAAGAUAAGUAUUUGUUGAUCAUUUGAAUGUACUUGAAAAGAAUUUUCGUGUUAUUACUAAUUUUGUGAAUUUUUGGACUAUUUUUAUGGUA